AUGAAGCUGCGGGGUCUGAUUGAUCUUUGUCUCAUACUAUGUCUGACCUCCAACUCAAAUGGUCAAAUCUGGAGUAUUAAUGUCACUACACACAUCAAUGCAACACUGGGCGCAUCCAUGACCAUACCAUGUACAUUUACCUACCCGAAAAAACACCACACUAAGGAUGUUCAAGUUUAUUGGAAAAAGCCUGAUCGUGAACAUCAUGGAAAAUGAACCGAAAAUCUAUGUGAGGCUUGUUGCAAAGGACCAGAACUACAGUUUCGUAAAUAAACCCGUCUCCAUUUUUGUGUCCGGUGCUGAAUCAAUCAAUCUUGGCCAAGGUGUUACAAGCCCCCCACUUUUUACCUUUGAACCCACACACAUAGUGACAACGCUGCAGACUUCGUACAUGUAUGCGGCCAUCUUUGCACCACUCUUGGCACUUCUCAUCAUCACUGUUGUCGCUGCAAUUUUCUGUCACGUAAGACGCAAAAGGUCACAUUCUGUCACCAGGGUGGAAUCUGGGUAUUAUGAAAAUUUUAGCGGAGCAUCGUCAAACCAAGCCAAAAGAGAAGCAUCCUGUGAAAAUCAUGAAAACAAAAAACUUUCUGAACUCAAGGUGAUUGACGACCCCAUCUACGUUAACACCGAGGAACUUACAGGUCACACAGAUGAAAGUACGGAUCAAACUCACAAUGUGUAUGGAAAUGUUGAUUAUUCCAAAUAG
rnacentral:lncRNA from 1 species